GCUGACGAGUCCUUUACUGACGCUAAAGCUCGAAGGUGCGGGUAUCGAACAGGAUUAGAUACCCUGGUAGUCCGCACGGUAAACGAUGGAUGCCCGCUGUUUGCGAUAUAUUGUAAGCGGCCAAGCGAAAGCGUUAAGCAUCCCACCUGGGGAGUACGCCGGCAACGGUGAAACUCAAAGGAAUUGACGGGGGCCCGCACAAGCGGAGGAACAUGUGGUUUAAUUCGAUGAUACGCGAGGAACCUUACCCGGGCUUGAACUGCAGGAGAACGAUCCAGAGAUGGUGAGGCCCUUCGGGGCUCCUGUGGAGGUGCUGCAUGGUUGUCGUCAGCUCGUGCCGUGAGGUGUCGGCUUAAGUGCCAUAACGAGCGCAACCCCUUUCGCCAGUUGCCAUCAGGUGAUGCUGGGCACUCCGGCGACACUGCCACCGUAAGGUGUGAGGAAGGUGGGGAUGACGUCAAAUCAGCACGGCCUUUACGUCCGGGGCUACACACGUGUUACAAUGGGUGGUACAGAGAGCAGGGUGCACGCAAGUUCACCCGAAUCAAGAAAGCCAUCCUCAGUUCGGAUUGGGGUCUGCAACCCGACCCCAUGAAGCUGG
rnacentral:rRNA from 1 species